UCCAAAGGUGAAUCUUUUGGUUGGUGAUUUUGAUGAUAGCCACAAAGCAAGCAGGCUGUAUGGUAGCCUUGAAAACCAACAGGCCACAAUCACAGUGAAAACCUCAGGUUGGCAGCCACUGGAGGAUACAAAAUGAGUUUGGAUCUCCUUCAAUGCCCCAUUCCCAGAGAACUGUCAUUAUUUGACCUGCUGGUAGUUCCCUAAAGGACGUGCAAGGAUGUUUUUAUUUGACUGGACACUUGAAGCUUGCCCUGUAUGAACAGCCCCCAUCUUCCCAUGCUUGUCAAAAAUCAGAGGCAACUAACACUGCGGCUUCCUGAGAGCUCCCAAGAUGGUGGCAAGCCUUUUGUUCUCUGACCAGAGGUUCCUGGCCUCACGGAUUCCAAGGAAUGGAACCUUGGGCCAUGCGUGCACUUGAUUUUGCAGAUGAGUCUGGAAGUGUUAGUUGCAAAGAUAUGCAUUUACUUCUCUGGCUACAAAAAAGAAUAGAAAUGCACAAAGCAGAGCAGUGUGAAGAAGAAGAGGCGAUGACCCCUAGACCGACCAAAGCCCGUGCUCCACUGCCCAGUGCCUAUGUCCCACCACUGUCGCUGCCACCCUGCCCGAGAGAAAGGCUGAAGGGGAUGCUAAAGGAGAUAAAACCAAGGUUAAGUAGGAACUGCAGAGAAGAUCCACAAGGUUGUCUGCUAAACCUGCUCCUCCAAAGCCACAGCCGAAGCCCAGAAAGGCCUCUGCAAAGAAGAGAGAGAAGGUACCUACAGAGAAGAAGGGAAAAGCUGAUGCUGGCAAGGAGGGGAAUAACCCUGCAGAAAAUGGAGAUGCCAAAACAGACUAGGCACAGAAAGCUAAAGGUGCUGGAGAUGCCAAGUGAAGUGUGUGCAUUUUUGAUAACUGUGUACUUCUGGUGACUGUACAGUUUGAAAUACUAUUUUUUAAUCAAGUUUUAUAAAAAUGCAGAUUUUGUUUAGCUUUUUUUUUUUUUUUUAAGCUAUGUUAGUACACAGAAUACUUCAUUGUUGUUUUGGGGAGAAGGGCCAUA
rnacentral:lncRNA from 1 species